rnacentral:misc_RNA from 1 species
UGAAAUGCGAUAACUAUUGUGAAUUGCAUUACUUUGUGAAUCAUUGAGUCUUUGAACGCACCUUGCGCCUUUUGUAAUGAAAAGGCAUGCUUGUUUGAGAAUUGUAUCACUAUACAUUUUGUGUUUUGGGAAAUGAUUUAAUCUUUCCUCAAAGUGAUGAGUAUGAAUUAUGUUUGAUUAAUGUGGUGAAUAGCGAAAUGAUUCUAGCUUGAAACUACGUAUUUAUUCAUAAUCAUAAAACAUUAUCAACAAUCUCAAAUCAAGCAAGACUACCCGCUGAACUUAA